AGCCCUGUAUAUGUGGAUGGAUGUGUUUGAGAGGGAGAGUCGAAGGGGACGAAGGAGCAUGAGAUGUAGCAGUGAUAGAGAUCCAAAAUCAAAGUUUUCCAAGAGACACAACCUAGAUCAUCGAAAAAUUCCAAACCAUAUUAAAUUUUGAGAUCUAGCCACGAGUCGGAAUCAUUUUUUCCAUCAAAAAUUGUUCAGAAACUCGACGCAGAGAGAGAAACGAGUGUCCAUCACUAGACUGGAGGUUCAGUUGAAGCAAGAAGAACAAGAAGAACCAGGGAGUGCAUUGAACAAGGACAGAAAUACGAGGGUAAAAAAGAGAGACAAAAGGGCAUGCACGGAAGGAAGGAAGAAGAUAAAGAUUGAGAGGCAGACUGACCGGAGGAAGAAAAUUGGUAGAGGCAGGCUCGUGUACGUUCCAGAAAACUGGCCGCCAUGUCGGCCUCCACCACCCCCACUACAUACCUAUAUGCAGCCAGCAGCACGAGAUAUCGUCCAUUGCACUUUUCAAGCUUUCAUGUGAACGCACUAUACAUGUAUACGCAUGUGCUUCUGCCUAUGUGGACAGGCGGCAAGCUCACACGUAUCCAGCGGUAGCUCCCCGUAAGAGGAGAGGCUGGUCCGCUCAGUGCACAGGAAAAUAAAAUCAUCCGGUGACAUUUUACUGUUACAUCAGUCCAACAUGAAAUACAUAUUACGAAUGUUACAAGAUCUGCAUAUCUGUUAGUAUAGCGGGGAAUUAAUCCCCAAG
rnacentral:misc_RNA from 1 species